rnacentral:rRNA from 1 species
GCUAGCUCUGGGCCUGGAGUAGGGGUAAUACGGAGGUUCCGAGCUUUAAUCUGAAUUACUGGGCGGUAAGCGUGCGCAGGCUGUUUGUUAAGGGAGGUGUGAAAGCCCUGGGCUCAACCUAGGAAUAGCAUGUCGAACUGGCGAACUAGAGUCUUGUAGAGGGGGGUAGAAUUCCAGGUGUAGCGGUGAAAUGCGUAGAGAUCUGGAGGAAUACCGGUGGCGAAGGCGGCCCCCUGGACAAAGACUGACGCUCAUGCACGAAAGCGUGGGGAGCAAACAGGAUUAGAUACCCUGGUAGUC